rnacentral:lncRNA from 1 species
UUUUCUCCUGUCUUUACCCAAUGGGCCUGCACAUACUGCCAUGUGGCCUCACCAACAGCAUCUGAAGACUCAGCAACUUUCUUCCAGCAAAUGAUGUCCCUCUUUAAAGUUCACACUCUCUUUAACAGAUGUAGAAAUUCCAACAAACACAUCUGGACAGGUGGUUACCAAGAUAACUCUCCAAAAUAGGUCCAAAAUGGGACUCGGGGCCACCAGUGAGAUUUUCAACAAUUCAUCCCCCCAUGAACUGUGAGGGCCACCC